rnacentral:rRNA from 1 species
UGGUGGAGUGAUUUGUCUGGUUAAUUCCGAUAACGAACGAGACCGCAACUUAUUAAAUAGUGGGCCUGAUAGUCUAAUCGGGUGAAAGCGCCUUGGAACUCGGCGUCCUUUAACCGGGAUUGCUGGGCUGAGGUGUCGGAUCCUUGACUUUAUUGGGUUAUCCGCUUCUUAAAGGGACUAUUUGCGUUUAGUAAAUGGAAGUGCGGCAAUAACA